rnacentral:rRNA from 1 species
UACGUAGGGGGCAAGCGUUGUCCGGAAUUAUUGGGCGUAAAGAGCGUGUAGGCGGCCCGGUAAGUCCGCUGUGAAAGUCGGGGGCUCAACCCUCGAAUGCCGGUGGAUACUGUCGGGCUAGAGUGCGGAAGAGGCGAGUGGAAUUCCUGGUGUAGCGGUGAAAUGCGCAGAUAUCAGGAGGAACACCAAUUGCGAAGGCAGCUCGCUGGGACGUAACUGACGCUGAGACGCGAAAGCGUGGGGAGCGAACAGG